UACGGGGGGGGCAAGCGUUGUUCGGAAUUACUGGGCGUAAAGGGCUCGUAGGUGGCCAACUAAGUCAUACGUGAAAUCCCUCAGCUUAACUGGGGAACUGCGUCUGAUACUGGAUGGCUUGAGUUCGGGAGAGGGAUGCGGAAUUCCAGGUGUAGCGGUGAAAUGCGUAGAUAUCUGGAGGAACACCGGUGGCGAAGGCGGCAUCCUGGACCGAUACUGACACUGAGGAGCGAAAGCCAGGGGAGCAAACGGG
rnacentral:rRNA from 1 species